ensembl:snoRNA LOC120096816 small nucleolar RNA SNORA17
CCUGCCUCUAGAAUCACUGUAGGUGUGGCUGCUGUACCACACAUACAUCAGUAGGGGGCAGAGAGGAGAGAGGAUAUGUCUACAUUCAAAGAUCUGACCAUGAACUUGUGAAUGAUUAGUUGCCAAAUAUU